UACGGGGGGAGCAAGCGUUGUUCGGAUUUACUGGGCGUAAAGGGCGCGUAGGCGGUCGUGACAAGUCACUUGUGAAAUCUCCGGGCUUAACUCGGAACGGUCAAGUGAUACUGUCGGACUAGAGUACAGAAGGGGCAACUGGAAUUCUCGGUGUAGCGGUGAAAUGCGUAGAUAUCGAGAGGAACACCUGCGGCGAAGGCGGGUUGCUGGGCUGACACUGACGCUGAGGCGCGAAAGCUAGGGGAGCGAAGCGGG
rnacentral:rRNA from 1 species